AUUGAACGCUGGCGGAAUGCUUUACACAUGCAAGUCGAACGGCAGCACGGACUUCGGUCUGGUGGCGAGUGGCGAACGGGUGAGUAAUGUAUCGGAACGUGCCCAGUCGUGGGGGAUAACGUAGUGAAAAUUACGCUAAUACCGCAUACGAUCUAUGGAUGAAAGCGGGGGAUCGCAAGACAUCGCGCGAUUGGAGCGGCCGAUAUCAGAUUAGGUAGUUGGUGGGGUAACGGCCCACCAAGCCAACGAUCUGUAGCUGGCCUGAGAGGACGACCAGCGACACUGGAACUGAGACACGGUCCAGACGCCUACGGGAGGCAGCAGUGUGGAAUUUUGGACAAUGGGCGAGAGCCUGAUCCAGCCAUUCCGCGUGCAGGAUGAAGGCCCUCGGGUUGUAAACUGCUUUUGUACAGAACGAAAAGGUUUCUACUAAUACUAGGAGCUCAUGACGGUACUGUAAGAAUAAGCACCGGUUAACUACGUGCCAGCCGCCGCGGUAA
rnacentral:rRNA from 1 species